CCGACCUCAGAUCAGGCGAGACCACCCGCUGAGUUUAAGCAUAUCACUAAGCGGAGGAAAAGAAACUAACAAGGAUUCCCUUAGUAGCGGCGAGCGAACCGGGAAGAGCCCAGCUUGAAAAUCGCGCCGCUCCGGCGGCGCGAGUUGUAGUCUGGAGAAGCGUCCUCUGCAGCGGACCCGGCCUAAGUCCCCUGGAAAGGGGCGUCGGAGAGGGUGAGAACCCCGUCGGGCCGGGACCCUGCUGCUCCACGAGGCGCUGUCGAUGAGUCGGGCUGUUUGGGAAUGCAGCCCUAAGCGGGAGGUAAAUUCCUUCCAAGGCUAAAUACGGGCGGGAGACCGAUAGCGAACAAGUACCGCGAGGGAAAGAUGAAAAGGACUUUGAAAAGAGAGUCA
rnacentral:rRNA from 2 species